rnacentral:rRNA from 1 species
CCUACGGGUGGCAGCAGUGGGGAAUAUUGCGCAAUGGGCGAAAGCCUGACGCAGCGACGCCGCGUGAGGGAUGAAGGUCUUCGGAUCGUAAACCUCUGUCAGCAGGGAAGAACGGUCACUGUGCUAAUCAGCAGUGAAUUGACGGUACCUGCAAAGGAAGCAUCGGCUAACUCCGUGCCAGCAGCUGCGGUAAUACGGAGGGUGCGAGCGUUAAUCGGAAUUACUGGGCGUAAAGCGCUCGUAGUCGGUAUGUCAAGUCAAGGGUGAAAUCCCCGCGCUCAACGGGGGAAGUGCCUUUGAAACUGGCAGACUGGAGUAUAUGAGAGGCUGGUGGAAUUCCAGGUGUAGGAGUGAAAUGCGUAGAUAUCUGGAAGAACAUCGAUGGCGAAGGCAGCUAACUAACACGUAACUGACGCUGAGGAGCGAAAGCGUGGGUAGCAAACAGGAUUAGAUACCCGAGUAGUC